UACGUACGGGAGGCAGCAGUGAGGAAUAUUGGUCAAUGGGCGAGAGCCUGAACCAGCCAAGUAGCGUGCAGGAUGACUGCCUUAUGGGUUGUAAACUGCUUUUAGUUGGGAAUAUAAUCAGCCACGUGUGGUUGUUGGAACGUACCAUCAGAAAAAGGACCGGCUAAUUCCGUGCCAGCAGCCGCGGUAAUCGUA
rnacentral:rRNA from 1 species